GAUUGAGAUUGCGUCAUCUGUGGAUCUGUUGGGGCGGUAUGCAAAUUGGAGUGGGUCUAGGGUGUCCGGAAGGAUGCUGUUGAUGUGAGCCAUGACCAGCCUUUCAAAGCAUUUAAUGGCUACUGACGUGAGUGCCACUGGGCGGUAAUGAUUUAGGCAGGUUACCUUCGCUUCCCUGGGCACAGGGACUAUGGAGGUCUGCUUGAAACAUGUAGGUAUUACAGACUCGGGCAAGGGAGAGGUUGAAAAUGUCAGUGAAGACAAUUGACAGUUGGUCUGCGCAUGCUUUGAGUACACGUCCUGGUAAUCCGUCUGGCCCAGCGGCUUUGUGAAUGUUGACCUGUUUAAAGGUUUUGUUCACAUCAGCUACCGAGAACAUUAUCACACAGUCAUCCAGAACAGCUGGUGCUCUUCUGCAUGCUUCAGUGUUGCUUGCCUCGAAGCGAGCAUAAAAGGCAUUUAACUCGUCUGGUAGGCUCAUGUCACUGGGCAGAUCACGUCUGGGUUUCCCUUUGUAGUCUGUAAUAGUUUUCAAGCCCUGCCACAUCCGACGAGUGUCAGAGCGGGUGUAGUAGGCUUCAAUCUUAAUCCUGUAUUGACGCUUUGCUUGUUUGAUGGUUCAUCUGAGGGCGUAGCGGUAUUUCUUAUAAGCGUCCGAAUUAGUCUCCUGCUCCUUGAAAGCGGCAACUCUAGCCUUUAGCUCAAUGCGGUUUUUGCCUGUAAUCCAUGGCUUCUGGUUGGGAUAUGUACGUACAAUCACUGUGGGCAUGACGUCGUCGAUACACUUAUUGAUGAAGCCGAUGUCUGAGGUGGUGUACUCCUCAACCCUACUGUGGUACUGCCGGACCAGGCCCUACUGUGGUACUGCCGGACCAGGCCCUACUGUGGUACUGCCGGACCAGGCCCUACUGUGGUACUGCCGGAUCAGGCCCUCCUGUGGUACUGCUGGAUCAGGCCCUCCUGUGGUACUGCUGGACCAGGCCCUACUGUGGUACUGCUGGACCAGGCCCUACUGUGGUACUGCUGGACCAGGCCCUACUGUGGUACUGCUGGAUCAGGCCCUCCUGUGGUACUGCUGGACCAGGCCCUCCUGUGAUACUGCUGGACCAGGCCCUACUGAAAGUAAUUGUCAUGCUUAUAUAGGAAGUACGCUGGUAGACAUUAGGAAGCUUAAUAAAGAUGUUUUUUAA
rnacentral:lncRNA from 1 species